AGGAAAAUAGCUCACGUGGUAGGGCUCCCGCUUGGUAACCGAGUGGUACAGGGUUCGAUCCCCGGUGUUGAUG